rnacentral:rRNA from 1 species
CGGACGGGUGAGUAACACGUGGAUAACCUACCUAUAAGACUGGGAUAACUUCGGGAAACCGGAGCUAAUACCGGAUAAUAUAUUGAACCGCAUGGUUCAAUAGUGAAAGACGGUCUUGCUGUCACUUAUAGAUGGAUCCGCGCCGCAUUAGCUAGUUGGUAAGGUAACGGCUUACCAAGGCAACGAUGCGUAGCCGACCUGAGAGGGUGAUCGGCCACACUGGAACUGAGACACGGUCCAGACUCCUACGGGAGGCAGCAGUC